rnacentral:rRNA from 1 species
GGCCAGACUCCUACGGGAGGCAGCAGUCGGGAAUAUUGCGCAAUGGAGGAAACUCUGACGCAGUGACGCCGCGUAUAGGAAGAAGGUUUUCGGAUUGUAAACUAUUGUCCACAGGGAAGAAAAAAGACUGUACCUGUGAAGAAAGCUCCGGCUAACUACGUGCCAGCAGCCGCGGUAAUACGUAGGGAGCAAGCGUUAUCCGGAUUUAUUGGGUUUAAAGGGAGCGUAGAUGGGUUGUUAAGUCAGUUGUGAAAGUUUGCGGCUCAACCGUAAAAUUGCAAUUGAUACUGGCAGUCUUGAGUACAGUUGAGGUAGGCGGAAUUCGUGGUGUAGCGGUGAAAUGCUUAGAUAUCACGCAGAACUCCGAUUGCGAAGGCAGCGCACCGGCGCCCUACUGACGCUCAGGCACGAAAGCGUGGGUAUCGAACAGGAUUAGAUACCCCAGUAAG